GUGGCGCAGCGGUAGUGUGUUUGGCUCAGGACUAAGAGGUUUCAAGUUCGAAUCUUGCC
rnacentral:tRNA from 1 species